AACGAACGCUGGCGGCAUGCCUAACACAUGCAAGUCGAACGAGACCUUCGGGUCUAGUGGCGCACGGGUGCGUAACGCGUGGGAAUCUGCCCAAAGGUUCGGAAUAACUCAGGGAAACUUGAGCUAAUACCGGAUAAUGUCGCAAGACCAAAGAUUUAUUGCCUUUGGAUGAGCCCGCGUAGGAUUAGCUAGUUGGUGGGUAAAGCCUACCAAGGCGACGAUCCUUAGCUGGUCNGAGAGGAUGAUCAGCCACACUGGGACUGAGACACGGCCCAGACUCCUACGGGAGGCAGCAGUGGGGAAUAUUGGACAAUGGGCGAAAGCCUGAUCCAGCAAUGCCGCGUGAGUGAUGAAGGCC
rnacentral:rRNA from 1 species